CCAGGAUUUGUCCAGACUGGUCAUGUUUUACAGCAAUCCUGAAUUGCUUAGGGGGCAGAAUACUUCUUUGGUUACAAUGUGUAGGGCGAGAAUAGUGUAAGGUAAGAAAACCUACUUGUACACAAAGAAGAACAUUUGAAGAUUGCGCCUUCGUUAAAAUAAUUCACGAGUGAAGUAAUAAAACAUACAAAACACCUAAAAAAACAAUUAAGAGGUUUUUAAUAAUGAUAUGUAUAAAUAAAUCCUGUAGAUAUCACCAAUUUGAAGACAGAAAACAGCAACUGCCAUCUAUAGAGGAACAAGUAUAAGGUUUGCAACUACGUCAGUUGUGCAGUAGCCCUUUCUUAAUAAAAUUAAGGUAUAUUAAGAAAAGGGUGGUAUUGCCGCUCCGAAUUCACAGCUGAAAUAAAUAAAAUAUUACAGCGAACACGCAAUACUCUGAUUAAUUUAGGUUAAAAAGUGUAUAAGGCCACAAAUUGAGAGCACUUGUAUAGACAUAAUCUUUCAGUAUUACAUGUGAGGUUUCUUGCAAAAAAACUGUUUGAAACCUACUGAAAGGAAGCAGAUUAGCCUGCAUUGCUUGUUACGCAAACAAGCAGUGAUGAAAUAUGUGGGGAAAAUAACUGGAGCAAUCACGAACAAGCAACUUUGCAAAACUCUGCUCUUUGCAGCUACAAAACAGAGAUUGCACACAUUUUAAAAAUGUAUAAAAAGGAGUGAUGCUGACUCUCAGUGGUCACAAUAAAAAAAAAACACUUGUCAUUAAAAAUAUAUAAAUCUUAUUUUUUUAAAUCCAUGUAUAUUGACAUUGUUCAGAAAAUCAUUUGCUUACUUUCCCACUACCCCUUUGUAAAAGUGAGCAAUGGGACUGAUAAUUUGGACCAAGGUGCACAACCAUCUUUUACUUUCCAAAAUCAUGUCACCUUUGUGCCGGCAGCAUUUUCUGAGAUUUUGAAAAGUAAUGGACAGUUGAAAAUAGUGAGCACUGGGUCAGGCAGCCAACAAUCCAACCAAAAAAAAAAAAAAGGCAGUCAAAAGGGGAGAGUGAAAAGGAAGACAAGGGAUUUCUUCAAAAAGGUCAAUAUACAUGAAUUGAAAAAUAAUGAGAUCGCAUGACAGAUAUUAAAUAAAAAAAGUGUUAAGGACAGUUCCUCUUACAGCUUGAUCCACAUGGACAGCUUAUUAAACCAGUGGUACCCGUCUGCUGGCACACCACCAGCUUAAAGACAGAAGCAGAAAUGCACCCAGUCUGCCAUAUUCAUGAUAUGCUAAACAUACUUCCUUCAAUUAAAAUCAAGUGUAUAUAAACAAUGAGCUUCAUAUUAUUUCUAAUUAAAAAUAUUCUCUACUUUAUACAAGUGAGAUUUUCCUUUUAACCAUUAGGUUACCACCACUGUCCCAUUUGUAUUCAACAUCUCCUGCCUUAGAAUAAAGUGUUUCUCCAACACACACACAUACAUACAUUAUAUAUAUAUAUAUAUAUAUAUAUAUAUAUAUAUAUAUAUGUGAAACCAAGAGGGCCGCACUCACCAGAACAUGCAUACAUUAUAGGGUGCUGCUGUGGCCAAAAUAUACAAAAUACAGAAUCCAGCACACACGCUUAUUCACUAAACAAUGAUUUCAAAUCUUAGCGAUUGUAAUAGUUUUAUUUAAAAACACCUCACCUAGGCAAAAAAUAAUGGGGGAGUUUAGUAUCAUUAUAUGAUCAUAUAUUGCAUAAACCUGCUGCAACGUCAAUGUACCACAUUCUUGGCAGGUCCUAAUCUAGCAGCCUAAUGCUUGCUCUUAUGAAAUUAAUCCACUGACUUGGGAAAUACUUCCUUACUGGGACUCUCUGCAAGGACCCAAUUUAGCCUUGACUUUUGAAAAGGUGCAUGUGCGCACUCUGAGCCAGCCAGGGGAGAGGGCGUGAAUAAAGGACUUGAGAAGGCAGGAUAAAAAUAUAGAAUAUAAUUAUAUAUAUAUAUAUAUAUAUAUAUAU